GACUUUACCAUCUUAAAAAUAUUACUAGAAAAAUUCAUGGAGGCUUUUAUUCAAAUGACAUGCUAUGAAAACUAAGCAAAACGCAAAGUGUAAAAGCAAAAUGCAAAUUUAAGAAAGUGUAACUAACGAAAUGUAUAAAGCAAAAAGAAUUUAUUAAAGAAAAUACUAAACACAAAGCAUGAAUUAAAAUACAAAAGUAAGUGAAAUUGGAACCAACUCCCCUUUAAUUCCCGGUGGUUGAAGAAGAUUCAAAAGAAGAAGUCACCCCGGAAGUGGAGUAAUCGUGGAUACAGACAAAUCCUUUUUAUUCUUCACUUUUCCAUUGCACAUUCUUUCCGAAGGCCGAAGGCGGUUCAAUUUGUAAAAUAUGGUACCCAAAUAAGCACUAAAUAAUAGGAUUAUUGAGAAAUAAUUUUAUUGAAAUUUUUAAAAAUUUUUUGGGAUUUAUUCGGAGUUCGUGUAGCUUUAUUUAGAAAGGAUACACUUAUAAGCUCGAGAAAAAGAUUGUUUGGAAUACCCAGAGGUGGGAGUUGAUUAAUUUGAUUAACGUAUAGUUGAAUUAAUCAAAGCCUAAGUUAUAAAAUUACACCUAACCCCUAAUCCCCUAAUUCCCGAUCCCUUCUCUCCUCACCCCUCUCGUGCCAAAUCCUCAUCCCAAGCCCUCGCGAUGCCGCCUCCCCAUCGCCGAACCUCUUCUCCCCAAAUCCACCACCGGCUCUCCUCUCUUCUGGUGAGCCAUAGCCGCUGGUCUCCUCUCUUCCUCGCGCACGAGCACCACAGCCAGGCUCCCUCUCCCUCUCGUGGUUUUCCUCACCAAAACCGCUGGACCUUUUCUGCGCAUGAGCAUCCCAGCAGCCGGCGACCUCUCCUCCUCACGCCAGUACCAGAGAUGCCGCAACAAGCCAAUGACCAACGCGACGCCUCUCCAUCACUGGCUGUCGUGCCCUAAUACCGAGUUCCUUGGCGAUUUUCUCUUUCGUUGGUCACUAGGUUUCGUGGAGGUGGGUGUCGAUUGGAGAGGAAGCUGUGGACGUUAAGUUUUGGAUUUUGAUUCGAUACGGGUGAUUUGACGUUGGGUUGGUUUGGCACGAUUUACGUAUAAAGGUAGCAGUAGAUGAUUCAUGGAUGCUUGGAGAGAUGUCGGCUGCCAUUCCUGAGUCUUGCAUUAUAUUAGUUUUAUUUCUACUUUACUUGUAUUUUUAGUAUAGAGCGAUUUUAGUAUUGUAUGAAUUGGUCUAUGUUUGGAGUUUGAUUCGUGGUGUUUUACUUUCGUGAUCUUAUGGUUGUGUAAGCCUAAUUGGUUAGUAAACUUUGGUUGUGGAUUGUGGGUUUU